CUUCAUUUGAGACUGAAUCCACUGUAGGACAUUCCCAUUUUCAUCCAUUUUGCAGAGAGCAAUAAACUCAACGUUUAGUCCUGCCACUACAAAGUUCAGCUUAGAGGUGCCUGCAGUGAAUUCUUGUGACCCAGUGUGAAGACACUAUUGGAAGAUGCCAGGCUUCACCUCCCCCCCCAUUUAAUACUACUAGUCAAAAGCCAAGUGAGAUUUGGAUGGAACUUUUACAUGAGGAUUCUUAAGUUGGUCUCAGUUUAACCAGGAGAUGGUGCUGUUGCGUAAAGCACUUGCUGAAUUCUGGGAAAGUCUGAAUAUUAAGAACUUUACUGCUAACACUUACUGUAUUUUGGGAGUCAUCAAUUCUACCAAGUGCUGCACAAUCUGAAUUUCUGAAUUCUGUAAAAAGCCUUUAAAAUAAAAUUUAUAUGGUUCUACCA